AUGGGCACAGAGCCCGUCCCGAUGGGCCCUUUCUCUGGGGUCUUGCCACACCGGGAUGCGGGGGCCACAGCGCCGGGCCCGUCCCGUCCCGUCCCGUCCUGCCCGGCGGCCCUGCGAGCCCUGCUCUUCCCGCCAUCCCGAGUCCCCUUGGCCCUCGGCUCUGGUGGGCGCCGUUCCCGGGGUUGGCAGGUGUCCACCCUGGGUUGGUGCCAUCUGCUGGCCUGCCCGCUCCUCUCCCCUCCCCUCCCCUCUCCAGGGCCGCCUCUCCCUUCCCGCCAGCUUGUCAGGGUUACGGACAAAGGGACAGUGACUCAAACAGGGAGCCGGCCCAGGGCCGCCGGUGAGGUCGGCGUGGGGGCUCGGCGGUGGCCAGUUAGAGGGCGGUGGGGCCGGGGGUCCGUGGGCUCGGUUAGGGGGAGGGUGGGGAAGGGAGGUCAGCGCUGUGGCGGAGCGGGGUCUAGUCGAGCAGGUAGUGGUAGGUCAGCGCCGUGGACGGGUGGCCUCUGCUUGUCACAGAGUAGGUCCGUGACUGGCGGGUCGUGUAGGCGGCUGGAACGGGGACUGCUGCGCUGUGUGGCGGUGUGGACUCAUAGAGCCGCCUGGAGAUGGUCUGCUGCCCAUCAGUGGAGUCGGCCCAGGGUUCCAGGACCCCGGAUUGCCUGUUUCAGGGGCUCAUUUCAAGCCCAGGGGCCCAGGGUGCACCCCUCCUGCGUCCGGCCUUUGCUUCCUGAGGUGUGCGGGGCGGGAGGGCUCGGGUCCCGGCGCCGGUGCCCCACGUCCCCAGCUCUCACGUGUCCACCAUCCGGCCCCCGUCGGUGCCGGGCUCCGAGAGUCCUGGGCUGCUUCCUGUGGCUUGGGGAGGGGCAGCUGCUGACACCUGCCCUGGCCGUGCAGCUCCUCGUCGGCUCCUCCCCUGGCUCGCAGCUCUGUCUCGCCCUUGGGUGUCUUACAGCAGCGGCGUCUGUGUGCCCACGGCGCCGUGGUGCUUGCUGCGGGUGGGCAGGGAGGCUGCCCUGGGGCCUCGGGGCACCUGCCGUGGACGCAGUGUCUGGGUCUAAUGUCUCACACAUGCAAACAUCAGGAAUCCGAGACCCCGGCUCCUCGGGUGGCGGUCUCCUGCACCAGGAGGGUGGUCUCUGUCUCAUCAGGUGGUGGUUCUGGAAGAGCCUCUGGAGUCCCCGGAGCAGGACGGUUGGCCAGGGAGGGCACAGGGCGGGCACAGGGCAGCGAGGGGCCCCCGAGGCCUCCCGACAGUGUUGUCCCUCUGGCUCACUGCUUGCACCACAGCAACAGAACGGGAGCGGAGCUGAUCCGUGUAGUUCAAGGCCUCUUCCCAGUUCUGUCCUGUUGGAAGGACAUGGACAUGGAGGGUCUCAGGGAGAACCGUCGCCCACCGCGCUUACCGCUGUUUGA
rnacentral:lncRNA from 12 species